GCCGGUGUGCUGGAAUAGGCAGACAGGGUGGUCUCAAACACCACUGUUGAAUAAACGUGUCGGUUCAAGUCCGACCACCGGUA
rnacentral:tRNA from 1 species